UACGUAGGGACCAAGCGUUGUUCGGAUUUACUGGGCGUAAAGGGCGCGUAGGCGGCUUGACAAGUCACUUGUGAAAUCUCUGGGCUUAACCCAGAACGGCCAAGUGAUACUGUCGUGCUAGAGUGCGGAAGGGGCAAUCGGAAUUCUUGGUGUAGCGGUGAAAUGCGUAGAUAUCAAGAGGAACACCUGAGGUGAAGACGGGUUGCUGGGCUGACACUGACGCUGAGGCGCGAAAGCCAGGGGAGCAAACGGG
rnacentral:rRNA from 1 species